GACGAACGCUGGCGGCGUGCUUAACACGUGCAAGUCGAACGGAAAGGCCCUGCUUUUGUGGGGUGCUCGAGUGGCGAACGGGUGAGUAGCACGUGAGUAACCUGCCCUUGACUUUGGGAUAACUUCAGGAAACUGGGGCUAAUACCGGAUAGGAGCUCCUGCUGCAUGGUGGGGGUUGGAAAGUUUCGGCGGUUGGGGAUGGACUCGCGGCUUAUCAGCUUGUUGGUGGGGUAGUGGCUUACCAAGGCUUUGACGGGUAGCCGGCCUGAGAGGGUGACCGGCCACAUUGGGACUGAGAUACGGCCCAGACUCCUACGGGAGGCAGCAGUGGGGAAUAUUGCACAAUGGGCGGAAGCCUGAUGCAGCAACGCCGCGUGCGGGAUGACGGCCUUCGGGUUGUAAACCGCUUUCGCCUGUGACGAAGCGUGAGUGACGGUAAUGGGUAAAGAAGCACCGGCUAACUACGUG
rnacentral:rRNA from 1 species